GAUGAACGCUGGCGGCGUGCCUAAUACAUGCAAGUCGAGCGAACGGACGAGAAGCUUGCUUCUCUGAUGUUAGCGGCGGACGGGUGAGUAACACGUGGAUAACCUACCUAUAAGACUGGGAUAACUUCGGGAAACCGGAGCUAAUACCGGAUAAUAUUUUGAACCGCAUGGUUCAAAAGUGAAAGACGGUCUUGCUGUCACUUAUAGAUGGAUCCGCGCUGCAUUAGCUAGUUGGUAAGGUAACGGCUUACCAAGGCAACGAUGCAUAGCCGACCUGAGAGGGUGAUCGGCCACACUGGAACUGAGACACGGUCCAGACUCCUACGGGAGGCAGCAGUAGGGAAUCUUCCGCAAUGGGCGAAAGCCUGACGGAGCAACGCCGCGUGAGUGAUGAAGGUCUUCGGAUCGUAAAACUCUGUUAUUAGGGAAGAACAUAUGUGUAAGUAACUGUGCACAUCUUGACGGUACCUAAUCAGAAAGCCACGGCUAACUACGUGCCAGCAGCCGCGGUAAUACGUAGGUGGCAAGCGUUAUCCGGAAUUAUUGGGCGUAAAGCGCGCGUAGGCGGUUUUUUAAGUCUGAUGUGAAAGCCCACGGCUCAACCGUGGAGGGUCAUUGGAAACUGGAAAACUUGAGUGCAGAAGAGGAAAGUGGAAUUCCAUGUGUAGCGGUGAAAUGCGCAGAGAUAUGGAGGAACACCAGUGGCGAAGGCGACUUUCUGGUCUGUAACUGACGCUGAUGUGCGAGAGCGUGGGGAUCAAACAGGAUUAGAUACCCUGGUAGUCCACGCCGUAAACGAUGAGUGCUAAGUGUUAGGGGGUUUCCGCCCCUUAGUGCUGCAGCUAACGCAUUAAGCACUCCGCCUGGGGAGUACGACCGCAAGGUUGAAACUCAAAGGAAUUGACGGGGACCCGCACAAGCGGUGGAGCAUGUGGUUUAAUUCGAAGCAACGCGAAGAACCUUACCAAAUCUUGACAUCCUUUGACAACUCUAGAGAUAGAGCCUUCCCCUUCGGGGGGCAAAGUGACAGGUGGUGCAUGGUUGUCGUCAGCUCGUGUCGUGAGAUGUUGGGUUAAGUCCCGCAACGAGCGCAACCCUUAAGCUUAGUUGCCAUCAUUAAGUUGGGCACUCUAAGUUGACUGCCGGUGACAAACCGGAGGAAGGUGGGGAUGACGUCAAAUCAUCAUGCCCCUUAUGAUUUGGGCUACACACGUGCUACAAUGGACAAUACAAAGGGCAGCGAAACCGCGAGGUCAAGCAAAUCCCAUAAAGUUGUUCUCAGUUCGGAUUGUAGUCUGCAACUCGACUACAUGAAGCUGGAAUCGCUAGUAAUCGUAGAUCAGCAUGCUACGGUGAAUACGUUCCCGGGUCU
rnacentral:rRNA from 1 species